ACUCCUACGGGAGGCAGCAGUGGGGAAUUUUGGACAAUGGGGGCAACCCUGAUCCAGCCAUGCCGCGUGAGUGAAGAAGGCCUUCGGGUUGUAAAGCUCUUUCGGACGGAAAGAAAUCGCACGGGCCAAUACCCCGUGUGGAUGACGGUACCGUAAGAAGAAGCACCGGCUAACUACGUGCCAGCAGCCGCGGUAAUACGUAGGGUGCGAGCGUUAAUCGGAAUUACUGGGCGUAAAGCGUGCGCAGGCGGUUUUGUAAGACAGACGUGAAAUCCCCGGGCUUAACCUGGGAACUGCGUUUGUGACUGCAAGACUAGAGUGCGGCAGAGGGGGGUAGAAUUCCACGUGUAGCAGUGAAAUGCGUAGAGAUGUGGAGGAAUACCGAUGGCGAAGGCAGCCCCCUGGGUCGACACUGACGCUCAUGCACGAAAGCGUGGGGAGCAAACAGGAUUAGAUACCCUGGUAGUC
rnacentral:rRNA from 1 species